rnacentral:rRNA from 1 species
UGGGGAAUAUUAGGCAAUGGGGGAAACCCUGACCUAGCCAUGCCGCGUGGGUGAAGAAGGUCUUAGGAUUGUAAAGCCCUUUCAGCAGGGAAGAUGAUGACGGUACCUGCAGAAGAAGCCCCGGCUAACACCGUGCCAGCAGCCGCGGUAAUACGGAGGGGGCUAGCGUUGUUCGGAAUUACUGGGCGUAAAGGGCGUGUAGGCGGCUUUUUAAGACAGAGGUGAAAUCCCCGGGCUCAACCUGGGAACUGCCUUUGAUACUGGAAAGCUAGAGUCCGGGAGAGGGUAGUGGAAUUCCCAGUGUAGAGGUGAAAUUCGUAGAUAUUGGGAAGAACACCAGUGGCGAAGGCGGCUACCUGGACCGGUACUGACGCUGAGGCGCGAAAGCGUGGGGAGCAAACAGGAUUAGAUACCCCUGUAGUCC